rnacentral:rRNA from 1 species
GCAAGGAAUAUUGUGCAAUGGGCGAAAGCCUGACACAGCGACGCCGCGUGAGGGAAGAAGGCCUUCGGGUUGUAAACCUCUUUUCUUAGGGAAGAAUAAUGACGGUACCUGAGGAAUAAGCCUCGGCUAACUACGUGCCAGCAGCCGCGGUAAUACGUAGGAGGCGAGCGUUAUCCGGAUUUAUUGGGCGUAAAGAGCACGCGGGCGGUCCUGCAAGUCGGAUGUAAAAUCUCCUGGCUUAACUGGGAGGGGUCAUUCGAAACUGCUGGACUAGAGGGUAGCAGAGGGAGGUGGAAUUCCCGGUGUAGUGGUGAAAUGCGUAGAUAUCGGGAGGAACACCAGUGGCGAAAGCGGCCUCCUAGGCUAUACCUGACGCUGAGGUGCGAAAGCGUGGGGAGCGAACAGGAUUAGAAACCCCAGUAGUCC